GACGAUGGCCGAAGUGGCAGAAGUGCAAUUGAAGUUGACGGGAAAAACGAUCGACACCUAAUAGCAUUAUCGUACAUUGAAGGUGGGAGUCGAGAUUAAAAAUCAUGCGCGGAUUUAAAGCUGUCACGAGUCCAGCGAGGGCAACCGGUCCAAAUUUUCGUCUAUUCAACUCUACACGAACCUUAUAAUUGUUUUCGUCAAGGAAUCAAGUGAGCUCAGUUACGUCUCCUGGAUAGUACGCGUCGUAAUAUCUCGCAGUUCAGAUACGGGGUGAUUCGAUAUCAAGGGAGCACAAGACAGGAGCGUGGCUCAGUGUUUCGAGCGGAUGUGACAAGAUGCUCUCAACGCUGCCGGCCGUUCCUGCUAAUAUCGCUAAGCUCUUCGGCUAGAACUGGAUCGGCCCUGGGCAGUUGGAUUUGUCCUUGUAUUGCACUCUCGUUUGCCACAGAUACCGCACACAGCUAUGGCAAGUCUUUCUUUAGAACUUCAUUCAGUUCUUAUACUAGUAAAUCUAAUAGGAUAAAUCUGCAUAGAUCUUAAAAAUAGACUAUAGAUGUAUGUUGGAUAGGACCAACCGAACAUACCAUAGCAGCUAACAUCUUAUAGAACUUCCAAACAGAUUGACUGGCAAGUAAAUUCUACACAAGUCGCGAAUCAGAUAGGUUCAUAGUGCAGUUAAGCAAUUUGUCUGCUAAGU
rnacentral:lncRNA from 1 species